rnacentral:rRNA from 1 species
UACGUAGGGUGCAAGCGUUGUCCGGAAUUAUUGGGCGUAAAGCGCUCGUAGGCGGCCAACUAAGUCGGAUGUGAAAUCCCCAGGCUCAACCUGGGAACUGCAUCCGAUACUGGAUGGCUUGAAUCCGGGAGAGGGAUGCAGAAUUCCAGGUGUAGCGGUGAAAUGCGCAGAUAUCAGGAGGAACACCGAUGGCGAAGGCAGGUCUCUGGGCAUUAACUGACGCUGAGGAGCGAAAGCAUGGGGAGCGAACAGG